rnacentral:rRNA from 1 species
UACGUAGGGUGCAAGCGUUGUCCGGAAUUAUUGGGCGUAAAGAGCUCGUAGGCGGUCUGUCGCGUCUGCUGUGAAAACUCAGGGCUUAACCCUGAGCUUGCAGUGGGUACGGGCAGACUAGAGUGCGGUAGGGGAGACUGGAAUUCCUGGUGUAGCGGUGAAAUGCGCAGAUAUCAGGAGGAACACCGGUGGCGAAGGCGGCUCUCUGGAACGGUACUGACGCUGAGACGCGAAAGCGUGGGGAGCGAACAGG